rnacentral:rRNA from 1 species
UACGUAGGGGGCUAGCGUUGUCCGGAAUCAUUGGGCGUAAAGAGCGUGUAGGCGGCCCGGUAAGUCCGCUGUGAAAGUCGGGGGCUCAACCCUCGAAUGCCGGUGGAUACUGUCGGGCUAGAGUGCGGAAGAGGCGAGUGGAAUUCCUGGUGUAGCGGUGAAAUGCGCAGAUAUCGGGAGGAACACCAGUGGCGAAGGCGGCUUCCUGGCCUGUUCUUGACGCUGAGGCGCGAAAGCCAGGGGAUCAAACGGG